rnacentral:misc_RNA from 1 species
GCAAACUUGGUCAUUUAGAGGAAGUAAAAGUCGUAACAAGGUUUCCGUAGGUGAACCUGCGGAAGGAUCAUUAUCGAGUCUUGACUAGGUUGUAGCUGGCCUUUCGAGGUAUGUGCACGCCUGGUUCAUCCACUCUACACCUGUGCAUUUACUGUGGGUUUUGGAUUGUGAAAGUGAAUCUCUGAAAGGGGGUUUACAAAAACUGUCUAGGCCUGCGUUUAUUAUAAACUCUUUAAAGUAUUAGAACGCGUAUUAUGAUGUUAAUGCAUCCAAAUACAACUUUCAGCAACGGAUCUCUUGGCUCUCGCAUCGAUGAAGAACGCAGC